GAUGAACGCUGGCGGUAUGCUUAACACAUGCAAGUCGAACGAAAUACGAUGGGGUUUACUCUAUCGUAUGGCAGUGGCGGACGGGUGCGUAACGCGUAAGAACUUACCUUUUGGCGAGGGGACAACCGCGGGAAACUGCGGCUAAUACCUCAUAGAGCUGAGGAGCGAAAGGUGAAAACCACCAAAAGAGAGGCUUGCGUCUGAUUAGCUAGUUGGUGAGGGUAAUGGGCCUCCCAAGGCGACGAUCAGUAGCUGGUCUGAGAGGAUGAUCAGCCACACUGGAACUGAGACACGGUCCAGACUCCUACGGGAGGCAGCAGUGAGGAAUUUUGGACAAUGGGCGCAAGCCUGAUCCAGCAAUGCCGCGUGCAGGAAGAAAGGG
rnacentral:rRNA from 1 species